rnacentral:rRNA from 1 species
AAGUAAAAAGUCGUAACAAGGUUUCCGUAGGUGAACCUGCGGAAGGAUCAUUAAUGAAAUUAUAAUCCGGCGAGGGGAAAGGCGGAGAGUUGUAGCUGGCCUCCAGGGGCAUGUGCACGCUCUCUUCCGGACCUUUCGCCGUAUGGGCGCGGGGCGACCCGCGUCUUCAUAUACCUCUUCGUGUAGAAAGUCUUUGAAUGUUUUACCAUCAUCGAGUCGCGACUUCUAGGAGACGCGAUUCUUUGAGAAAAAAGUUAUUACAACUUUCAGCAACGGAUCUCUUGGCUCUCGCAUCGAUGAAGAACGCAGCGAAUCGCGAUAUGUAAUGUGAAUUGCAGAUCUACAGUGAAUCAUCGAAUCUUUGAACGCACCUUGCGCUCCUCGGUGUUCCGAGGAGCAUGCCUGUUUGAGUGUCAGUAAAUUCUCAACCCCUCUCGAUUUGCUUCGAGCGGGUGCUUGGAUGUUGGGGGCUGCCGGAGACACUGGAUUCGUCCAGGACUCGGGCUCCUCUUAAAUGAAUCGGCUCGCGGUCGACUUUCGACUUUGCAUGACAAGGCCUUUGGCGUGAUAAUGAUCGCCGUUCGCCGAAGUGCAAGACAGAAUGGUCCCGUGCCUCUAAUGCGUCGACGCCUCUAGGGGCGUCUUCCUCAUUGACGUUUGACCUCAAAUCAGGUAGGACUACCCGCUGAACUUAAGCAUAUCAAUAA